CCUGGGGCCACCUGGCCUGGCAGAGCGUGUGGCGCUGGCUCCCCUGUGCGUGCCUUGGUGGGAUCCUGGCGGAAGGCCGGGGUCCCCCAGGACUGGGGCCACCCUCCCUGCCCUGGCACGCCAUGGGUGCCCUGCCUGCCGGGGGAUCCUGCCCGGCCCUUGGUACCCCACUGCCAGGGUGCCCCCAGCUGCCCCCCUCUCCAGGGCAUCCCCACGGCCCUGCCCCCAGGGAGGGAGGCCCAGCACCCACCUCCCCGCUGGACCCGUGGCCUCAAGAAGGCUCCUCAGCUUCAUCUCCGCUUGCUUCACACAGGAGAAGGCUUGCUCUUCACUCUGCUGCUGGCUGUGGAGUUUGUCCAGAGAUGCCUCAGCACGGCCAUCUCCAGCCUGUGAGUACAAGAGGGUGCAGGGGGGACACGGAGACGAGGGGUGCCAGUGGGUCGGGGUGAGCAGGGUCAGGCUGGUGGUCAGGCUUCCCACCAGGAGACCCUGGCUCCUCCAAAAUCCCCGCUCCUCAGCUUGGAAGAGAAAGUGCCCCUGGGCAGGCAGGGCUCUGCCCUUGGCCACUGCUAAGCCCAGAACCCCCUCUUUGUCAGGAGAGAGACUGUCGCUGUGAACAGGAAGAGGCUCGUGGCGAUCCUCUUGGUGAUGAGCCUGGCUGCUCUCGCUGCUGCCUGCUGGGGAAUCGUGCAGCUGACGUGGAGGCAGCGGGCAGAGGAUGUGCUGCAGAUUGGCUUUUCUGGUGGCCGCGUGGAACAAUCUCCCUGUCUGAGGAACGAGGUCGUGUGCCUGGCUGAUGAGAUGGACACCAUGAAGAAAGCGAUGCUGCAGCCGGACGAUUUCCCGACCUGCUGCUGGCCCUUCCAAGAGUCUGGGAGCGAGGUGCUGAGCUGGUUACCGGCACAAAUACCUCUGCAGGCCGUCAGUGUGCAGCAGAGCUCCGAGAGAGCCUCUCCGCUGGGGACUGCCAUCAGCGCCCGCCGAGAUGUUGCUGUCUGUGGCCUGGAUGAGGAAGGCGAGGAGGCAACUCUGCUGGGGACGUGGAGCUGCAGCAGGCAGGAGAAGCCCCACCAGAGCUUGCCUCUGCAGAAUGGGAUCCCCGGCGCCUUUCAGCUCACAAAUCCUGGCAAUUGGAGCAGCUCGGGAACCCCAGCACAGAGGCUGAUAGAUCGGGUGCUGGCGAUGGGGAAGAUGGUGGGAAGAUGGUGGGCGUCAUUAGACCUGUUUUCUUCAAUAAAAUUUCCCGUGUAAAAAGGAGACUCAGGCCAGAGGGAUGCGGCUGUUGGUCUGGUGCAGAGCAAGGUGGUCUCAGAGGCCCUCUCCGAGCUGCCAGCUCCUGCCUUUCGCAGGCAGAGGCCUUCCUCAGGCUUUGCGCUUUCAUCCACCAAGGGCAUCUUUCCUGACCCGGCAAAAGGAGACGACGCUCCUGAAGCCUUUCCCUGCCUCAGGUCCUUGGCAAAAUCCUUUGUCACCAGGGUCGCCUCUGGCCCCUGUAAGGAGUCGUCGGAGCCUGUCAGCAUCUGGGGCUCCUGAUGGCCAGGCUCUGGCCCAUUCCCUUCAGGGAACACGUUGGAUCUGGGGACUGGGUCUAGUGGGGACCCACAUGGUGCAGCCACGUCUGGGACAUGCCUCCAGGAAAGGAUGGAGAUUCUCCUUUGCCCUCCUUUUGUUGCUACUCUAUCUAGACAGACAUUUUCUGGUGCUUUUUACAGCAGUAGCCAGAUGAAGUUCUAGCUGGGCUUUGGCGCUUCUCAUUUUCUCUUGGCGUAACCUCAGAAGUCCUUCAAAGCCCGGAAGCUCUCCUUUUGUCCCCUCCCCUGACUGCCAGCCAAAGCUCUCUGGUCAGCCAGGCCGGUCUUCUUCCCUGCCACCUUGUCUUUGGGCACAUGGCAAUAGCCUGCUCCCGCGCCAUGAAGAUCUCCUUGUCAGAAGCACCUGCAUUUGGUCAAGAGCUCUGCCAAAGGGCACCAAAGAAGCCAUCAGGAGGAUGGCAUGGUCGCACCCGCCACCAUGUUCCGCUCUGCCACACUGUGCUCAGGGGAGAGCAGGACGCAGUCUCGGGGGGAACAGGCCAGUCCCUCUCCAGGCACUGCCCCAGCUGGGUCCUGGCCAGGCAUGGCAGGGCCUGGAGAGACACAAAAUGUCUGGGUGCCACUGAAGGUCCCAGGCGGGGAGAAGGCCUUGGAGCAGUGGCCAG
rnacentral:lncRNA from 1 species